AGUGAACGCUGGCGGUAGGCCUAACACAUGCAAGUCGAACGGCUGCACGGUAAUAGCUUCCUCUUACGGGGGCCGAGGGGCGAGCGAUGCAUAAAAAUAUCCGAGGCUGCGUGGGCGAACGUCCUAACACGGGGACACUUACGCUAUUCGCCCAGACGGCCUACGGGGGAGAUCAUCGGACCUUACGACCUUACAUGAGCCUAUGACCCGAUGUCGGAUUAGCUAGUUGGCGGGGUAAAGGCCCACCAAGGCGACGAUCCGUAGCUGGUCUGAGAGGAUGAUCAGCCACACUGGAACUGAGACACGGUCCAGACUCCUACGGGAGGCAGCAGUGGGGAAUAUUGGACAAUGGGCGAAAGCCUGAUCCAGCCAUACCGCGUGGGUGAAGAAGGUCUUCGGAUUGUAAAGCACUUUUGUUGGGAAGGAAGAGCAGUAAGUUAAUACCUUGCUGUUUUGACGUUACCAAAAGAAUAAGCACCGGCUAACUUCGUG
rnacentral:rRNA from 1 species